GACGAACGCUGGCGGCGUGCUUAACACAUGCAAGUCGAACGGCAAGGCCCUGCUUUUGUGCGGUGCUCGAGUGGCGAACGGGUGAGUAACACGUGAGUAACCUGCCCUUGACUUUGGGAUAACUUCAGGAAACUGGGGCUAAUAUCGGAUAGCAGCUCCUGCUGCAUGGUGGGGGUUGGAAAGUUUCGGCGGUGGGGGAUGGACUGGCGGGUUAUGAGCUUGUUGGUGGGGUAGUGGCUUACCAAGGGUUUGACGGAUAGCCGGCCUGAGAGGGUGACCGGCGACAUGAGGACUACGAGACGGAGCAGUGGGGUACGUGAGGCAGCAGGGGGGAGUAUUACCCAAUGGGCGGAAGCCGGAGGAAGCGACGCCGGGGGCGUAAUGACGGCCUUUGGGGUGUGAACAGCUUUAGCCUGAGACGAAGCGUGAGUGACGGUACUGAGUAAAGAAGCACCGGCUAACUACGUG
rnacentral:rRNA from 1 species